rnacentral:rRNA from 1 species
GCAAGUCGAACGUCCCAUGUAUUUAUAUAUGGGAAGUGGCAAACGGGGUAGUAACAGGUAGGAACAUACCCAUGAGUCAGGAAUAACUGCGAGAAAUCGUAGCUAAUACCUGAUAGUCCCUUCGGGGUAAAGAUUUAUCGCUCAUGGAAUGGCCUGCUUCGUAUCAGCUUGUUGGUAGUGUAAAGGACUACCAAGGCAAUGACGCGUAGGGGAGCUGAGAGGCUGACC